GGGGGAGGACCUGAGUCAUUGUGCAGCUGAGGAGCACUGAUACAGAUAGUCGGACUGAUAACAGCAGGUAAAAGGCGUGUUUCUGUGACUGUUUUGUGUAAUCUCAGUUUGUUGGUAAAUGAAUGAUGAUGAUGAUGAUAUGGACAAACGUGUUCAAUAACCACCUGCAUCAGGGAGAUUUGGGAUGGGAAAUGUUUUCUGUUGCUGGAAUUAGACAUCCAUAUGGUGAAUGCCAUUUGAACACUUGCAAGAGAAAUUCAGAGUUUAAAUCACUUUCACCAUAGUUUUGGCAGGACUGGGAACACAUUUUUUUUUCAGCUGUUCUUCCUGAUGGGAGCUAUAAAUAGCUUUGGGGAAGUAUAUAAUUAUCUCACAGUAGAAGCUCAAGAUAAAAAGCCACAUGAGAUUUUAAAGGAACAUUUAAUAGUUGCUAUUAUGUAACAUUUAUGAAAUAUGCUCACUGUGCUCAUUGUCUUUGCCAGGAAGAAACUUGGAAUAAAAAGUCAAUCCAAGAUGUGACAUGUAUAAAUAGACCUAAAAGGAAGAAGUUCAAGCUCCUGAGCAGAGCAUAUGAUCUGACUCCUAUCUACCUCUCUGGACCCAUGUCCUUUUACCACUUAACUUGCAUUUCAUACUCCAGUACUGCCAUGCUGUUGUAUGAACACAUACAUUUCUCAAGUUCUUUCUUCUCUGCUUGUGUGUUUGCCACGUAUAUUCACAUGGUGAAUUCUGAUUCAUUCAUUGAAAUGAAAAUGAGAUAUCAAUGCCUCCCAGAAACUUUCCCUUUCAAUGCCAUUCUGAGUUAGAUGCCCCUCAUCAGGGUUCAUCUCUCUCAUUAUACUCCCUUGUAAUCGUUUGUUUGCUUUUCCC
rnacentral:lncRNA from 1 species